rnacentral:rRNA from 1 species
AAACGCUUAAAGUCAGUCACAUUUUCCAGGACUCAGCCUUGCUUUUGCUUGGUGUAUUUUCUGGUUAGAUGGGCCAGCAUUGAUUUUGGCUGUUGGAAAAAGGUAGAGGGAAUGUGGCAUCUUAGGGUGUGUUAUAGACCUUUAUUGUAUACAACAGCUUGGAUCAAGGACUGCAGCAUGCCAUUAUGGUCGGGGUUUGCCCACGUACAUGCUUAGGAUGUUGGCAUAAUGGCUUUAAGCGA